CACGUAGGGGCAAGCGUUGUCCGGAUUUAUUGGGCGUAAAGAGCUCGUAGGCGGUUCGGUAAGUCGGGUGUGAAACCUCCAGGCUCAACCUGGAGAGGCCACCUGAUACUGCUGUGACUCGAGUCCGGUAGGGGAGCGAUGGAAUUCCUGGUGUAGCGGUGAAAUGCGCAGAUAUCAGGAGGAACACCGGUGGUGUAGACGGCUUUCUGGACCGUAACUGACGCUGAGACACGAAAGCGUGGGUAGCAAACAGG
rnacentral:rRNA from 1 species